rnacentral:rRNA from 1 species
AGAGUUUGAUCAUGGCUCAGGAUGAACGCUAGCGGCAGGCUUAACACAUGCAAGUCGAACGGUAACAUUUCUCGCUUGCGAGAAGAUGACGAGUGGCGCACGGGUGCGUAACGCGUAUACAAUCUGCCUUUUACAAAGGGAUAGCCCAUGGAAACGUGGAUUAAUACUUUAUAAUAUCAUUUUAUGGGAUCAUAAGAUGAUCAAAGAUUUAUCGGUAAGAGAGGAGUAUGCGUGACAUUAGCUAGUUGGUGAGGUAACGGGCCACCAAGGCUACGAUGUCUAGGGGUUCUGAGAGGAUGAUCCCCCCACUGGUACUGAGACACGGACAGACUCUUACGGGAGGCAGCAGUGAGGAAUAUUGGGGAAUGGAGGAAACUUUGACGCAGCCUGGCCGCGUGAAGGAAUGAAUGCCCUACGGGUUGUAAAUUUUUUUUAUAUGGGAAGAAACUUUUCUACGUGUAGAAAACUGACGGUACCUACGAAUAAGCACCGGCUAACUCCGUGGCCAGCAGCCGCGGUAAUACGGAGGGUGCAAGCGUUAUCCGGAUUCAUUGGGUUUAAAGGGUACGUAGGCGGAUAGAUAAGUUAGUGGUGAAAUCCCGAAGCUCAACUUCGGAACUGCCUUAAAACUGUCUAUCUUGAAUUUGGUUGAAGUGGGCGGAAUAUGACAUGUAGCGGUGAAAUGCAUAGAUAUGUCAUGGAACACAAUAGUGAAGACAGCUCACUAAGCCCAUAUUGACGCUGAGGUACGAAAGCAUGGGUAGCGAACAGGAUUAGAUACCCUGGUAGU